GGCAAGGAAAACAACUCUUUUACACCGGAGCCAAGCAAACCAGUUUUGUGGCAAUUUGACAGACAUUUAACCGUAUAUAUAUUUGGUUGGCUGGUCAAGAAUUUGCCAGAAAUUUUGACUAUUCUCACUAUGGAAGGAUAUCUCCCUGAUAAGGGAACAUAGGGGGCAGCAGCUGCGCCUCCCAAAUGUCUGGCACUAGGAAACAACAUGGGCAUAGUGGUGUCCAGAGUGACUAACUGUCGUGUAGAACCAUCCAGAAAACGCAGCAGCGCCUUGCAACCAAAAAACAACACCCCCUACAGGAAGGUCAAUGGUACUAUCAAAUCAUCCCAAUGUAACACACUGACUCCAGUGCAGAGACAUACCCAAGGUAGGUUAUCAGCCCAUAUUAGAUCAAGUGGAUAUAAGAUUAAGUAUAAAUGCGGAUUUAAAGUUGUGACUGGAGUUAUCAUGAGGGGAUUUAUGAUCAAAGGACCACAAUCUGGGCCUCCCGAGUGGUACAGCGGUCUAGAGCACUGCAUCGCAAUGCUAGAUGCGUUACUACAGACCUGGGUUCAUUCCCGGGAUGUGCCACGACCGGCCGUGGACGGGAGUCCUAUAGGACGGCACACAAUUGUCCGGGCGAGGGGAGGGUUUGGCCGAUGGGGCUUUACUUGGCUCAUCAUCAUCACGCUCUAGCGACUCCUUGUGGCGGGCCGGGUACCUGCAAGCUGAACCCAGUCGCCAGUUGAACAUUGUUUCCAAUAUGCAUUUCGGCUCUGUGUGUAUGAUUUUCUCUGAUGUGUGUGUGCGAGCGCAGGUACAUGUGUGUGUGCAUACUGUUGUCCAGUAGUGUGUGAGCCUGAGGUGCAGGAGGUGUUAAUUCCUACCUUCCCAGAGAGGGUAAGUGUGCAGAGAGGCUACAUCACCCCCCAGCAGGUAUAUAACCUGUUGAACGCAGAGGCUGGACAUCCCGCUCUACAUGAUCCGAAUUACAUCCUCAUCCUGGACUGUCGCAGUGCAGAGAGGUGGGAGCACUCACGCAACACAACUUCAGAACACAAACAUGCACAUCCAAUGUAGCCACUUGAUCACUACACCUCACAGACUUGUUGUAGAUAUGUGGAAGUAGUGUAGGGGCCUGAGGGCACAGUC
ensembl:lncRNA